ACGGGUGAGUAACGCGUGGGAACGUGCCUUCCGGUUCGGAAUAACCCUGGGAAACUAGGGCUAAUACCGGAUACGCCCUUAUGGGGAAAGGUUUACUGCCGGAAGAUCGGCCCGCGUCUGAUUAGCUAGUUGGUGGGGUAACGGCCUACCAAGGCGACGAUCAGUAGCUGGUCUGAGAGGAUGAUCAGCCACACUGGGACUGAGACACGGCCCAGACUCCUACGGGAGGCGGCAGUGGGGAAUAUUGGACAAUGGGCGCAAGCCUGAUCCAGCCAUGCCGCGUGAGUGAUGAAGGCCUUAGGGUUGUAAAGCUCUUUUAUCCGGGACGAUAAUGACGGUACCGGAGGAAUAAGCCCCGGCUAACUUCGUGCCAGCAGCCGCGGUAAUACGAAGGGGGCUAGCGUUGCUCGGAAUCACUGGGCGUAAAGGGCGCGUAGGCGGCGUUUUAAGUCGGGGGUGAAAGCCUGUGGCUCAACCACAGAAUGGCCUUCGAUACUGGGACGCUUGAGUAUGGUAGAGGUUGGUGGAACUGCGAGU
rnacentral:rRNA from 1 species